rfam:Pongo abelii chromosome 6.
AAAAAGGUUCUUUUCAGAGCCACCUACUUUUUCACCAAGUAGAGCU